CUCUUCUCUCUCGCGCGCGCCCUCCCCCCCCCUCCUCUCUCCCAAAUACUUACUUAGCGAUUUACCUUUGCCCUCGCUGAUACGGUGCUGCACGCCACGUAGACACACAGCCUCACACACACGCACACGCGCGCGCACACGCACAGCGACACGCGCACCCUUAACGCUCCUACUGUACCGAUCUCUCUCCCUCUGUCUCUCUUCACGGUUCCUUUCUUGUUUCCGUCAACUCCAACAGAACGGCGAUGUCAACGCCAAGGACGACGACGACGGCGGCCAAGCCGAAGCCGUACAGCUUCGUGAAUGACUACAGCGUGGGCAUGCAUCCCAAGAUUUUGGAUCUGAUGGUACGCGACAACAUGACGCAGCACGCGGGCUACGGGCUAGACAGCCACUGCGCGGAGGCGGCACGCAUGAUCGGCGAGCUGCUUGAGCAGCCGAGCGCGGAUAUCCAUUUUAUUUCCGGCGGCACGCAGACGAACCUGAUCGCCUGCAGUCUAGCGCUACGCCCGUGGGAAGCCGUCAUCGCAACGCAGCUGGGCCACGUCAGCACGCACGAGACCGGCGCCAUUGAGGCAACGGGGCACAAAGUCGUCACGGUGCCGUGCCCGGACGGCAAGCUGCGCGUUGCCGACAUAGAGAGCGCGCUGCACGAGAAUCGCUCAGAGCACAUGGUGAUACCCAAGCUCGUCUACAUCUCCAACACAACGGAGGUAGGCACGCAGUACACGAAGCAGGAGUUGGAGGACAUCUCCGCCUUCUGCAAGGAGCACGACCUGUACCUCUUCCUCGACGGUGCCCGCCUCGCCUCGGCCCUUAGCAGCCCUGUGAACGAUCUGACGUUGGCAGACAUCGCCCGCCUGACGGACAUGUUCUACAUUGGCGCCACGAAGGCCGGUGGCAUGUUCGGCGAAGCGCUCGUCCUCUUGAAUGAUGCCCUAAAGCCGAACGCGCGCCACCUCAUCAAGCAGCGCGGCGCCCUCAUGGCGAAGGGAUGGCUGCUCGGCAUCCAAUUCGAGGUGCUCAUGAAGGACAACCUCUUCUUCGAGCUCGGCGCCCACUCGAACAAGAUGGCCGCCAUCCUCAAGGCUGGGCUGGAGGCGUGCGGCAUUCGACUUGCCUGGCCAUCCGCGAGCAAUCAGCUCUUCCCGAUCCUGGAAAACACCAUGAUCGAAGAGCUGAGCAAAGACUUCGACAUGUUCACCGUCGAGCCCUUGAAGGACAACACGUGCAUCAUGCGACUCUGCACGUCGUGGGCGACGGAGGAGAAGGAGUGCCACCGUUUUGUGGAGCUGCUGAAGCGCCUCGUCGCGUCAACGGCCUAAUCACGGAAAACUCUCUUCUUCUUGCGCAUAACAAAACGGCUCACAGCGCUCGGAAGCGAUGCGCCACCCCCCCCCUCCACCCUCCCCUCCCCUCCCCGUUGUGUGCAUCCCACCAUCCAUCCACCUGACGCGCGCACACACACACACUUGCUCAG
rnacentral:misc_RNA from 1 species